rnacentral:lncRNA from 1 species
GACAAAUCUGGUUGGUUAAUUUGAAUCGACAUGGGAAAUUCUGAUUGGUUGAUGGAUUGAGUGAAAGUGAACAGGCUCAAGAAAGAGAGGGAGGAAAUGACGCAACGUUUUAUAUAAAUUGAGAAUGAAAGGCUGGUGAUCAGCCGUCACCUAGUAAGUCUAGGCUCUUUUGGAUUUCAGUUCUUGAACUUGGGGAUUGGGAAGUAUUUAUCAUAUAACUGUUAAGGGGAGUUUUAAGUUUGUAGCCAGCUGAAAAUCUUUUUUUCCGGCGGGCUGGGAUUACACUCCCUUUGGACACAAGAAGCUUUAAAGUCUGUCCACUAUUGAACAUGGCGAUUGGAAGACCAGGCACUGCUUGGCAGUUCACUUCCGUGUGUUGAGCUGCCUGGGGAAGUUAACUGGGUGAAGAGUGGAGGACAGCCGGCGGUUAUAUAUGCAUCUCCAGUUUGAUAACUCUGAUAACCGUCUCAUGAAGUGGCACGGAUCUGGGAGCACACAUCAGGGUUGGCCAUUCCAAACACUCCCUCUGGUCUCUAGGGAAACCCUUACUUGCCAAUUGUGGAUGCAGAUGACUGUGCCUCCCCUGGUCCCUCUGACAAGAGAUGGCAACCAGAGUUCUUUCAGUACUUACAGUAUCAAAAUGGAAAUUUCCGUCCGAGGAAUGGCUUCGCAAUGUUUUGACUUUUUACAAUUUACUAGAUUCUCUUCGUAAGGGGGCGCAGGGACUGUGAUGUCACAGCUAGCGACAACAGACACUCAAGCAACAAAGUAGUAAUAACUUGUGCAGUUGUCCAAACCCACACUAAUUCCCUCCAGGUGAUCCCCAAACUUCCCCUCUGCUCCCCACUGCAAUAAAUAAAUAAAUUAACAUUACUUUUCCAGUUCCUCAUUGCUAUUCUUCUAAAGCUGCCAUUUAUUCACAAUAAGAAACAAAUGUGCAUAUUCUAAAGUUUGAACUGAUGUUCAAGGCUCUCUAAAGACCUAUCAUUUUUUG